ACUCCUACGGGAGGCAGCAGUGGGGAAUAUUGCACAAUGGGCGCAAGCCUGAUGCAGCCAUGCCGCGUGUAUGAAGAAGGCCUUCGGGUUGUAAAGUACUUUCAGCAGUGAGGAAGGUGGGUAUGUUAAUAGCAUAUUCAUUUGACGUUAGCUGCAGAAGAAGCACCGGCUAACUCCGUGCCAGCAGCCGCGGUAAUACGGAGGGUGCGAGCGUUAAUCGGAAUUACUGGGCGUAAAGCGCAUGCAGGUGGUUUGUUAAGUCAGAUGUGAAAGCCCGGGGCUCAACCUCGGAAUUGCAUUUGAAACUGGCAAACUAGAGUACUGUAGAGGGGGGUAGAAUUUCAGGUGUAGCGGUGAAAUGCGUAGAGAUCUGAAGGAAUACCGGUAGGCGAAAGGCGGCCCCCUGGACAGAUACUGACACUCAGAUAGCGAAAGCGUGGGGAAGCAAACAGGAUUAGAUACCCUGGUAGGCUCU
rnacentral:rRNA from 1 species